GUCCGGAGAGAUUUGAGUGGAGCGUCCGAUUCGCCUCCCCUCACCCGCUGCGGGCGCUAUGGAGCCGGGAGCCUGAGGGCGAAACUGACGCCUUUCCCCCAGACAUGUUAGCGGCUCCCCUCGGUGCAGGUGCAGACUUCUCUGGAGCAUAAAGGCACUAUGUACUCAGAGUGGAGGUCCCUACACCUUGUAAUUCAAAAUGAUAAGGGCCACACCAGUGUACUUCACAGCUAUCCUGACAGUGUGGGGAGAGAGGUGGCAAACGUCGUUGUGCGUCCCCUUGGUCAAGCUUUGAAUGCUCCACUACCAGUUGAGAGUGUACUGAAAACUGACAAAGAAGUAAAAUGGACCAUGGAGGUAGUUUGUUAUGGCCUUACACUGCCUUUAGAUGGUGACACGGUAAAGUACUGUGUUGAUGUUUAUACAGACUGGAUUAUGGCUCUGGUCUUACCAAAGGAUUCCAUUCCUGCACCCAUUGUGAAAGAGCCAAAUCUUUAU